ensembl:lncRNA
CUAUGCCCAAAGAACCUGCCGCCCGGAAGCAACAACUUCCAUCAAACGGCAAAGAAAAGUUCCUAGGGAGAGAGCUUAGCGCCCAAGCAGCCUGCGCUAGUGCCGAGACAGAACAGGAGAGCAGCAGACAGUGCAGGCCGGGCCAGCCUGCAGGCGGUGGCUGCGGCGGCGCUGGUAGGGCAGACCCGGGCUCCGGAAGGCUCCAGGUCCGGGGGUGGCCGCCGGCCUUGGGCACAGUGCCGGCUUUCGCACCCCUCCCCACGACCGCGAGCAGUGGGCGGAGAGAUUAGAGCAAAGGAAAAGACGGACAAUGCCUGGCCGGGCCGGCGACCUCCGUGCGGCCCCCGCCGGCCCGUCCCUACUCGGGCGGCCAGCUACCGGGCUAAGUUUCCUAAGCCCUGCCUCCAGCCCCGGCGGCGAAAGCUCGGCCGCCGCCUUCCUCCCAGCCGGGCGGUUCCCGCGAGUCUGCGAGGAGGAGGCAGCGUGCGAGCCGAGCCGGGCGCGCAAGGAGGCGGCGCGCGAGAGCCCGACGGGCGCCCGGCGGUGCUGCGAGCUCUUCCCACCCCUUCCCUGCCCCGCCCACCCCUUCGCCUUCCUGAUUGGCGAGAAACCUACAACAGGAACAGGAGUCCCAGCCUUCCAGUGGCUGGACCAGACGCCCUUCAGACUCACCCCGCCUCCGUCCCGCCCCCUCCCCCUGGUUGGCACAACCUCUAAUCACUCUCUAUCGUCUCCCCUAACGUUGCUUUGGAGAACUGGCACUCAAAGCUCACCCUCCCGCCUCCGGAAAGCGAACUUUAUUUUUAUUGGCGAAAGCACACCUUCCUGUGCACCUGAUUGGGCAAGGAGGAGGCUAAUCGGCACGCCUCUUACCUAUUAUCACUCUCCCUUUACGGAUUUAAGAAAACCGCAAAGUCUUUCCUACUUUGCCUUCCAAGCGCCUUUCUCUUUAAAUGUUGCUAAAAGUAGAAGACAAUUUCGCAGCCUGUAUUAAGGGAAGCGGAAAAGAAGAAAGAGAAAGAUUAAAAAUGCUCUCCAGAUGGGUAGUACAUCGGAGCUGGGUCUGGCAUCCUGCGGAUCCUAAUCCUGUGGUCUGGUGCAUGGAGUGGUUACGUUGAGCUAAAGCACCUGAAAUUCUAAUAUUGACUCCUGAGAUCUACUCACAAGCUUUCACUCACCGUUCUCUCCAUUCACACCCUUAGUUUCUUUGGCAUUUCUCCACCCAGAAGAGCUUUAAUAAAGGCGUCUGCGAACCUGAAGCUUCCCUUGUUUAUCUCGCGGUCGUUCAUUUAGAAAAGCAUCUAAGCCUUUCCAUUAAAAGUUCCGUUUAGUCACGUCCUUUGCGUCUCUCUGGCGUUUGCACAAGAG